AUACGGAGGGUGCAAGCGUUGUUCGGAAUCACUGGGCGUAAAGGGCGCGUAGGCGGUUGUCUAAGUCAGAUGUGAAAGCCCACGGCUCAACCGUGGAACUGCAUUUGAAACUGGGCGACUUGAGUACGGGAGAGGGAAGUGGAAUUCCAGGUGUAGAGGUGAAAUUCGUAGAUAUCUGGAGGAACACCGGUGGCGAAGGCGGCUUCCUGGACCGAUACUGACGCUGAGGCGCGAAAGCGUGGGGAGCGAACAGGAUUAGAAACCCCAGUAGUCC
rnacentral:rRNA from 1 species